rnacentral:rRNA from 3 species
UCCGUAGGUGGACCUGCGGAGGGAUCAUUA